rnacentral:rRNA from 1 species
UACGGGGGGAGCAAGCGUUGUUCGGAUUUACUGGGCGUAAAGGGCGCGUAGGCGGUCAGCACAAGUCAGUUGUGAAAUCUCCGGGCUUAACUCGGAAAGGUCAACUGAUACUGUGCGACUAGAGUGCGGAAGGGGCAACUGGAAUUCUCGGUGUAGCGGUGAAAUGCGUAGAUAUCGAGAGGAACACCUGCGGCGAAGGCGGGUGCUGGGCCGACACUGACGCUGAUGCGCGAAAGCCAGGGGAGCGAACGGG